ACUGACUUGCCUAGUUAAAUAAACCAUUUGUACAUUGAACUCGUCAUUACAUCUGGCUGGUAAGCUUGGGCUUGGAAGGGAUUGGGCUCUAUUAGAAGGGCUCUUUUUAUUUAUUUUCUCAUUAGUACUGAGUUAGGUAGGAGGAUUUAGAAAUGUGGAACUAAAGUUGUGAUUGACUCCAUCACAAUAGGUUUGUUUUGCGGACCCCCGUUAUAUCAUAGAAUAAUAAGCCUGUCUGAGUUAUUAUUUGUUCUUGAACACAGCUCAUAUUAUGUGUUUAUAUUGGAGAAGUUUGUCCCCCGCUGUCUUUCAAGUGGAUGUUUUCCAAAUGACUCGUCGUUUCAACAAACUCGGAGAAACGCAUAUCAACUGCUUAUAGUUAGUUAGCUCGUAGAUUUAGCAAAAGCAGAGUGGGUAGCCACUUUUGUCGAUGUGCACAAGAGUAACUAACUAGACACAUUUUGCUAGCUGGGUUCUUCUAGAUUUAACGAACUAACUUUAGUUAGGUCAAGUAGCCAACAAACAUUCAACACUGAAACUAAAACUAAAUAAUAGAUUUGUUCAAGUAUGGGGAUGUGUUUGCCGUGCCUUGGUGGACCUGGAAACGACUUGUCCCCUACACCAGAUCGAGAGACAAGGAAACGGCAGCUGGCAGAGGCAGCUGAGAAGAGACAGAAAGAGAAAUUCUUCAGUCAAAGCCAAUUGAAUCCAACCCAUAAAACAUGUCGGCCUACUAAAGCAUCGAGACAACCUACAGGGGUGUCAAAAACCCCCAAGCAGUUAAGAGAAAUAAAAAGAAUAAGGAGAUGGAGAAACAAGAGAUGAGACCGUGUCCGUCUGGAGGAGGAGGAGGAGGAGGAGGAGGAGGGCUUGAAGUGGCAGGUAGGAUAAAGAUAGACACAUGGAGAGGGAUCCUGGAAGUCUCUAAUGUAGACUGAGGCUCAGCUAACAACAUGAAGAGUGUUGGUACCAGUUGACUUGAAAAGGCUUUUUUUUUUGAGUGUCGGCCCUUCUACAUUUUUAUUUUUAAAUGCAAGCUUUUCUCAGUUUGUCAGGCUUCGAUGCUGGUAAUAAAAUAAAAAAAUCAAGAUUCUGCUGCCCAAUGUUGGCAGUGUGAAUCACAGGACAUGCCACCCCUUAUGCCAAGAUAUACAAGAGAAUAUGCCAGCCAGCCAAUGGAGCUGUGGAACAGACAGGGUGGCAUAGCUAUGAAUAUACACACUCAGAGGAAAUAUGCUCACACUACAUCUAUAAACUGUACCAGGCGUCUUGCAGCACACUCUCUCUCUUUGUCCUCUCUCGCUCGCGCUCUCUCCUCGCGCUCCCCCUUCUUUCUCUCAACCAUUUCAACUCCGCCAGCUUUAACAUCAUGGUGCUUACUUCUUUUGCAAUUGUUUCAGACAUUUUGAAAUUUUGAGGAAUAUUCUCUUUCUUGUGACCUAUUUACUGUAUAGUAUUUUUUUCCUUCUAAAAGGAUUUUCUGCAACAAAGUCCUUUUUAAUGUUCAAAAUAGGCCUAGAUGAUUUGAAAUGACCUUUUCUAUUGUGGAAAAGAACUACAUUUCCCAUAGCUACUGAUGAACCACAUGUGACUGUUUUAGAGUUCACGCAUCAACACUAUUCAGUUGACAUUUCACUUUAGUGUUUGAUUUUUAUAUGUCUGUGUAAUAUUAGUUAUUUGCUACACGUUGUAAUGGUUUCUAUCGGAUUUGUAAUGUAUAAAGAAAAUGCUUUAUUUAAAUGAGGUAAGAAGGUUUAGUCGUGAAAGCCUGAUGAAGUGUUAAUGCAUGAAUAUUAUUAUAUUUUUUUUAACCGGUUCAGUAGUAUUGUUAACAUGACAAUGUUCCAGGAAUUAUGUUAAUCCAAACAUAACCCGGCGUCACAUCAUGUUUUUUCUUGGGUAUGCAGUCUGUUGUCACGAUGGUAAUAGGACUGCCCGUUAUUCACCAGGUUUCGCUCAGUUCCAUUUCAGUUCAGGAAGUACACAGAAAUUCCAAUUGUCUGUAAUGCUUUUCAAUGAGGAACAUUUUGGUUUACUUUCUGAAUUGAAAUGGAAUUGACCCCAACCCCGUCAUCUACCUGUCCGCGAUGACGAUAACUCUGCAGAUCUCAGAAGGAAAUGGAAAGAGAGCCUGAACGAGCAGGUGUUAUUGUGCACUUGGAAGUAUUGUAUUUAUACCUGCCUUGCUUUUUAUACUUGACUGCUUUUCCUUCCUAUACCCACCUACUGCUUCAAGGGCUCUUGCCAUUUUGAGGGGCAUGAAGUCGUGCCAAUGUCACUUUGUUGAAAUAAAUUUGGGAGAUGACUCUU